AAGAGAGGAAGAGAAAGUGAGAAAGAAUGGCAAAACGACUUGGGAUGAGCAAAGAGUUCUUCAGGAGGAGGGACGGAAGUCAAUAAUCAUCGUUUAGAUGGUUUCUUCCUUGUCAAAUCUAAGAUGAAAGUGCAGGGAUUAAAGCGUGGAACUGAAAGCCUAUCUAGGAAUUUGCAGGUGAUUUAUGCUUUGUCGCUGGACAAGUCAAAUCUGGCUGUUUCAAAAUAUCAAGCGGAGUGCAUGGAUGCUAAAGGAUUAGUAGAACCAAACCAUCAAACUCCAGAGGGUUGUCAACAUCUCUCUUGAGUACCCUUUCAAGGAUCUUGGGAUUGCUGAAAAUAUUAUAUUACAAGGCUUGAGCAAUAAUUCUUACCUUUGUUUUUUGUAUUUGGUUUUUCCCUUUUCUAGCUGUUUUGUUUUUUUAAUCACAAUUUUUCUUUUCUUAUUAGAAGUUAGAACAGCUUAUAUAUCAUAUUAAAUGAAGUAAAGUAAGGAUCACAAUGAUAACUAGUGUAUCUACUGGAAGUGGCAAACUGAACUAUGGAGUGAAUGAUUUCAAGGAAAAUUGUUGUAAAAGAUCUUCAUGGAUCACCAGCAUGACUUUUAGCAUAUGCAUACAGAAAGAAAUUUCAUGAUAUGCUAAGGAUCUUAGUACUAAAAACAGUUUACAUGUACUAAAUCUUACUAGCUGGGGGUAUGUUAUAGCUUAAAUCUUAAGCUGGAUGUGUAUUUAGUUUAUCCACUUAAUCAUGCUAUAUAACAACUAUGCAAUGUUCUAUACAUGUUAUUAGUAGUCCUAUUGGUAACGUUGUGCUUUUAUAUUUUGCUUAUGCUAUCUUAGUAGUCCGUUGGAAAAAAUAUUAACAUAGAUGCAUUGAAGAAAUGUAUUAGUACAAGACAAUGGUGUCAUAUAUAUUAUGAAAUAAUUGCAAUAACAAUUAUGGAUAGGAUUGCCUAAAGGUGAUAUAUAAACCUAUUCUUUCAUCUUGUAUUUUAAUUGGUAAAAAAGUAAAUUUAUGCCCCUGUUUUUUAUUUCUUUCAUGCACAAACUAUAUAUAUGUAUAUAUAUAUAU